GCAGAAUUUGAGUCUAUAUGAGUGUAUAAAUGUGUAUAUUGUUUUCAUUGUUAAUCACUAAACCCAAAUGCAUGCAAAGUUAAGUAAAUGUCAUUUCAUUAGCAACAUUUACUUUUGCCCUGAAUUUUGUACUUAUCUGUUCCUAUCCUAGCAUGUUACCAUAUUUCUAUACUACGCAACAGGAAAUUGACAUUUAUUUGAUGCUUAAUAAUUAUUUUAAAGGAUUUCUCUUUUUGUAUGGUAUAAGUCCACGAUGCUCAUAAAUUACGUUAUUUAAACCACAGGGAUGUGUCUGUGUUAAAUUUAAAUGAAUGAGUAUGAGUAUAUAUAGGCAUUGGAAGGGUUUUUUUCUAAUGUUAGCAUUAGAUAUUGUCUAUCUGCUCAAAAACCACUGUAUUGGGUGGGCCCUUAUAAUAUUAAAUACACCUAAUAGAAAAUGCAUGAUCAAUAAAAAAACAAAAGAAAUUGUAAACAAGUUAUUUAGGUUGAUAUAGGCCAAUGUCCAAUUAAAAUGAAAUGCAGUAUUUUGAUUAAAGAAAUAAGAUUUAGAAAAGACAUUUAAUUUGUGAAAGUUUUUUAUAUAGUCUUUUCCUAUUUAUUUGCUAGGUUUUGAUGGUCAAAGAUUUAAAAGAUGUACCACAUUAUCGAGCUAUUCGAAGAUGGAAAGAAGUCUGCAGCCAUCAUGCCCGAUGAAUGGCUAAUCCCAGAGAGCACCAAUAGAUAUUUCUGGCCUAGCUCUAAAACAGACUCCACCUGGGUCUAAAACACAAAAAUGCCAGGCCCGAACUGGAAUAUUUUCACCUACCAGCAGAUAAUUAAAAGCACAUGAGCCCUUGCUGUGAAAGCAGUACAUCACCACUUUGUAUUCCCCCCACCAGCAAGACCUGUAUGAUCAGUUAUGUGCAAACUCCGUCUUCUAUUAGACGUGUUUGGUCUGUAGAUUCUCCAGAACAGCCAGGACCAUUUACUGCUAUUAACAGGGCCUCAAUCACAUAUUCUGAGUUGACACCAGCAGCAUCGCGGACCACCUGACUUAUCCCUGCGGACCACACUUUCAGAACCACUGCAUUAAGAGACCUACAUUUAUCAGCACUAAGAGACUUUGUUUUGGUUUUAGUCGCCACCAUCAAGCGGUCUAUUCCUGCAUCACCAUCAUCAGCACCAGCGACAUCUGCUAGCGACUGUAAGAUUCUACUUAAACUUCUAAUUAUUACAUUCAGAGAUUUAGAAAUGCUUAUUUGUUUUAUUUUUGCAUGUGAGAUAUAUAUAUAUAAUCACCUUGUACUUACAGCUAUUUUAAAUAUCGGCAUUAAGAUAAUCUAAAUUUUAUUUUUUAAGUACAAAUGCUUCCAAGUUAUUUUGAGAAAACUUUCAAAAAGAUACAAGAACUCCAGAAUGGUGUAUAGAUCCUGCAGCAGAAGGUGGACCAGCAAAGCAAUGUGGCUGCCAGCCAUACAACUCCAGAUACCUUCCUCUUUCCGCUGCAGGAAGUUGAUCAACUUAAACGAUACUUUGGCAGAGGAAGGUACCAGACAAAGAAUGGUAAGAUGUAGGAAACAUUUUGUCAGUAAGGGCAAUUCCAAGAGACACGAAAGAAUAACCAGGAGUAAAAAGUAACCUGUUGGUGUUUACUGCUUCCAUAUUUGUUAAACUUUGUCUUACCAUAUCAGCUCACCCAUUGUACAUGCCAUCUUCAGAAGAUUCACAGAUGGGAUUUUUAUAUAUGUAUAAGGAGACUGUUGCUGAUCAAAACAUUUUUUUGUUUCAGGUUUUGUAUCUGAGUUAUUUUGGU